rnacentral:rRNA from 1 species
UGGGGAAUUUUGGACAAUGGGCGAAAGCCUGAUCCAGCAAUGCCGCGUGUGUGAAGAAGGCCUUCGGGUUGUAAAGCACUUUUGUCCGGAAAGAAAUCCUUGGCUCUAAUACAGUCGGGGGAUGACGGUACCGGAAGAAUAAGCACCGGCUAACUACGUGCCAGCAGCCGCGGUAAUACGUAGGGUGCAAGCGUUAAUCGGAAUUACUGGGCGUAAAGCGUGCGCAGGCGGUUUGCUAAGACCGAUGUGAAAUCCCCGGGCUCAACCUGGGAACUGCAUUGGUGACUGGCAGGCUAGAGUAUGGCAGAGGGGGGUAGAAUUCCACGUGUAGCAGUGAAAUGCGUAGAGAUGUGGAGGAAUACCGAUGGCGAAGGCAGCCCCCUGGGCCAAUACUGACGCUCAUGCACGAAAGCGUGGGGAGCAAACAGGAUUAGAUACCCUGGUAGUCCACGCCCUAAACGAUGUCAACUAGUUGUUGGGGAUUCAUUUCCUAGUACGUAGCUAACGCGUGAAGUUGACCGCCUGGGGAGUACGGUCGCAAGAUUAAACUCAAUG